CCGCGCGCCGCUGACCGUUGCCCGCCAACGGCUCCGGCAGCGCCGCCGCCGGGAGAGGGGGCGCCGGGCCGCCCUGGGCCCGCGCAGCCUGCGCGGGGCGCCGAUCCCCGAACCGGCCUAGCCCGCGGGCACGGGCUCCCCGCGUCCCCCCGGGGAUGCAACUCCCUCCCGGCCCUGGGACCCCGGCUGGGGGAACCGGCGCGACGGUGCGGGGCUCUCAGCGGUCCCCGCUGCAACUGUGCCCCCUCCUGCCGCCCGGACCCCCGCCCCCCUCGGAUCAGGGGCGGCUGCACCCAGCGCCGCGGAACUGCCGCCGGCGAACCCAGCGCCGGCCGCGGCGCAGCGCCUCCGCCUCGCCUCGCCUCACCUCACGGCGUGGCCGGUGCCCUGCGGAGCCCAGCGCAGCACAAGCCCGGCCUGAGCCCAACCCUCCGGGAAGUUUCCUGCCAUCGCGGCGGCCGGGGAAAACAACAGCUUCAAAGCCAGGAGCCGGAGCAAGAGGAAGGGCAGCGCGAGCAGAAAAGUGAGGGGCAUCGCUCGCCCGCCGCGCCGCUGCCGUCGGCGGCCGACCCCCGCGGAGGGCAGCCCGCUCAGCGCCGCCUCCCCAUUCGCUUCGGCGGCGGCCCCGCCGCACCGGCAGCGCCGCGGAACCGCCGGGCCGAGGAGCAGGCAGGCGAGCCGCCGCCUCCCGCCUGCCGGCAGCCUCCCCGGGCCGCCCGUCCCGCUCGCCGCAGCGCCGCCGAACCCCGCCCGCGCCCCCGCCCGCCCGCGCGGCGGCUCCGCCUCCCGGGGGCGCGCGCAGGCUCCGGCCGAGCGGCUCCUGCGGCCCCCGGCGGCAGCGGGCGCUCCCGGGGGGCGGCCGCGGAGCCCGGCGCCCCGCACCGGCGGCCGGAGGGGCGGCGGAGGGCGGCUCGGCUGCGCUGCGACCCGCCACCCGUUCCUCGGCGCCAAGUGUCGCGCAGGCUGUGCCUGCAGAGUUGGAGACGCCUCGUUAAGAUGCAGGUAGAAGAGAUGCGGAAGGCAGGGCGAGCAAGUGCGAAGGAGCCCCCAGCCUCCCGCCAGGCAGGGACGUCAGCGUGGCCAUUUGCUGCUUUGGUUGCUACUCUUUGCCUUUGAAGCAAGAUAAACCAAAGCUCUGUUGCAUCUGUGUGCCAACCACAUCACCAUGAAGAAAAUGUUUUGGGAAAAUUCAGCAUUCAGCUUCUGAUCUAUAAGACCCUGAAGUGUCUGGGCUGUAAUUUAAGUUCUUCAGCAAUUAUAAUCAUUUCAGAACCUUGUGGAAGCAGAGAACAUGGUACAGAAUAGUCUCCAGUAUGAUAUUUUGCCCCUGAAACUCAACUCUGGGAGCUCUGUAUCUUCAUCCCACAUGCCAGUUUUAAGAAAGCUAUGAGACUCACAUUUGUCUUUAUUUGGACUCCCCCAUAAGAGAACCAGCUGACCUCCCCUUGUACUGGACAUUAUGCUGGACAUUUUCUGAUACUUCUGAUCUUGGCAAGGAGGCUACAUCCAGUAUUACUAAAGUUGAUGUACUGUUUAUGACAUUUGUUUUAUUUUGUCCUUUAAUCUAGGGAAUUAAAUCAGGGGGGAAAAUCUUGAUGCAUAAACUUCCUAGAGAGGAACUAUUAACUUCUUUCCCUACUGUCUGCCCUUCCCUGCCCCCAGUUUCGUGUUUCCUGUGCUUCCAUGCAGAGGGUGUAAUAAAAGAAGUAUAGUCUUUCCUUUCCCCCCAUCCAGAUCCCAGCUUUGUCUGGUUUUGUGAAUUCACUAUUCUGUCACAGUCAGGGUAGAUUUAUAUCUGCUCCAGUUACUCAGUCCAAUUUUCAGUAGAACCUUUACGGUACUUACUGAUAUCUUUGUUUUUAAAACAAUUAUUUUUACUGAUAAAAUAGGAAUUAAAAUUACAGUCUUUAUUUUCAGCAAAUGCUUUGGGUUACUUACAUUAUAGUCUAGUGAAACUAGCUGGGAUGACUUUCCAACGUCUUAAUGCAGGAAACUAUCUCCAGUGCAGUGUCUGAACAUGUCCAGUGUUUUGUGCAGCUACGCUAUCUAGGAAAAGCAUAACAAAUCAGGACUUCUGCCACAAGGCAUCUUUCUUUUCUGAUGUCACAAAUUUAGUAUUGCGAAAUCUGAUUCUGUGCAUCGUGUUAAAACUGUUGCCAUUCAUUCACCAGCAAGUUUAAUGCUAUAAAUCAAAAUGGACAACAUAGAUAUCAUUCAUUUAAAAAAAAUCUGAUUUUUUUUUAAUUCAGAACCAAAGGCAAUGCCCCAUGAACAUGUUACACAGUGACCUCUGCAAUAAAACAGGUUUCUGAAUGUUAACCAAUGACAAAUGCUUCAUAGAUCUUCCAGUUAAAUAAAAAUAAUGGUGAACAACUCACUCAUCAUUGAAAGACAGCAUUAGAGUAAGUAAGGUAAAUGAUUUAUCACUAGGAAGGAUUUGUGUUGGAAUCCCCUUCUCUGAAUUGGUAAAUAAUUUCAGCAAAGAAUGAACAUGAGAUAGUGAGUUUAAAACAAAAUUUUGUGUUCAGUGGAUUUACUAAGUAUAUAAAACAUUUUGCACAUAAUUUUCAGUUCUCUCUUUUAAAAAAGAUAUUACCCUAUUUUAAUUACACCUGGGAUUAGCUGUUUUUUCAAAUUCUUUUCAAGUUC
rnacentral:lncRNA from 1 species